UACGAAGGGGACUAGCGUUGCUCGGAAUCACUGGGCGUAAAGCGCACGUAGGCGGAUUGUUAAGUCGGGGGUGAAAUCCUGGAGCUCAACUCCAGAACUGCCUUCGAUACUGGCGAUCUCGAGUCCGGGAGAGGUGAGUGGAACUCCGAGUGUAGAGGUGAAAUUCGUAGAUAUUCGGAAGAACACCAGUGGCGAAGGCGGCUCACUGGCCCGGUACUGACGCUGAGGUGCGAAAGCGUGGGGAGCAAACAGG
rnacentral:rRNA from 1 species